rnacentral:rRNA from 1 species
CCUACGGGAGGCAGCAGUGAGGAAUAUUGGUCAAUGGGCGCGAGCCUGAACCAGCCAAGUCGCGUGAAGGAAGACGGUCCUAUGCAUUGUAAACCUCUUUUGUCGAGGGGCAAAAGCCGCCACGAGUGCCUGACCGAGAGUACCCGAAGAAAAAGCAUCGGCUAACUCCGUGCCAGCAGCCGCGGUAAUACGGAGGAUGCGAGCGUUAUCCGGAUUUAUUGGGUUUACAGGGUGCGGAGGCGGAAUAUUAAGUCAGCGGUAAAAGUCCGAGGCUCAACCCCGGCGAGCCGUUGAAACUGGUUGUAGGGAGAUGUCGAGAGGGAUGCGGAAGGCGCAGGGUAGCGGUGAAAUGCUUAGAUAUUGCGCAGAACGCCGAUGGCGAAGGCAGCAGACCGGCGGCGAUCUGACGCUGAGGCACGAAAGCGUGGGUAUCGAACAGGAGUAGAUACCCGAGUAGGC